GCCUAUGGCCACGCCACCCUGAAGGUGCCUGAUUUCGUCUCAUCUCGGAAGUAAUCCAUGGCCGGACCUGGUUAGUACCUGUAUGGGAGUCUGCCUGGGAAUACCAGGUGUCGUAGGCU
rnacentral:rRNA from 1 species